rfam:Elusimicrobium minutum Pei191, complete genome.
GCUGGGAUAGCUCAGCUGGUAGAGCAUCUCCAUGGUAAGGAGAAGGUCGUGGGUUCGAUUCCCAUUCCCAGCU